AGAAUCAACGCUGGCGGCGUGCCUAACACAUGCAAGUCGAACGAGAAAGUGGAGCAAUCCAUGAGUAAAGUGGCGCACGGGUGAGUAACACGUGACUAACCUACCUUUUAGUGGGGGAUAACCUAGGGAAACCUGGGCUAAUACCGCAUAAUACCUACGGGUCAAAGCAGCAAUGCGCUGGAAGAGGGGGUCGCGGUCGAUUAGUUAGUUGGCAGGGUAAUGGCCUACCAAGACUGUGAUCGAUAUCCGGCCUGAGAGGGCGCACGGACACACUGGAACUGAAACACGGUCCAGACUCCUACGGGAGGCAGCAGUGGGGAAUUUUGCGCAAUGGGGGAAACCCUGACGCAGCAACGCCGCGUGGAGGAUGAAGUCCCUUGGGACGUAAACUCCUUUCGAUCGGGACGAUAAUGACGGUACCGGAAGAAGAAGCCCGGCUAACUUCGCGCCAGCAGCCGC
rnacentral:rRNA from 1 species